CCCGCCCCGAUCCCUUGGAAACAGGCAGGCAGAGGGGAGGGGGGCCUCCGCGGGCGGAAGUGAGGGGGCGCUUCCGGUUGGGCCCAGCCGAGGGAGAGGCGCCAACUCUUCGCGUGUUCCUCGGGAGCCUCGCGCGGACUCAGAACCCGGACCCUUCCCCCGGCAGAGAAGGCUGUCCUGCGGAAGGAGGGAGGCUGCAGGGUGGGAGUGGCAGAAGAGGCUCCAGGCUGAAGUGGAAAAGAACCUGCAGGUGCAGAAAGGUGAGGCGGACUUGGGAGUUGAAAAAGCCACCCUCGGCUUAUACUUGGGUGCUUUCCUGCCAGGACCCUCACCUCUCCGCACAGCAACCCAGCUCUCCUUCCUCUUCUGCUCUCUUGCGCAGUGCUCACCUUCCUCUCCUCCUCUCUUGACCCAGUGCGCACCUUCCUCUCCUCUCUCAACACAGGGCGCACCUUCCUCUUCUCUCUUGAUGCAGUGCGCACCUUCCUCUCCUCUCUCGACGAAGUGCGCACCUUCCUCUCCUCUCUUGGUGAAGUGCGCACCUUCCUUUUCUCCUCUCGGCGCAGUGCGCACCCUCUUCCUCUCUUGUCGAAGUGCGCACCUUUCCUCUCCUCUCUUGUCGAAAGUGAGAACCUU
rnacentral:lncRNA from 1 species